rnacentral:rRNA from 1 species
CCUACGGGGGGCAGCAGUGGGGAAUAUUGGACAAUGGGGGGAACCCUGAUCCAGCGACGCCGCGUGAGUGAAGAAGUAUUUCGGUAUGUAAAGCUCUAUCAGCAGGGAAGAAAGAAAUGACGGUACCUGACUAAGAAGCCCCGGCUAACUACGUGCCAGCAGCCGCGGUAAUACGGAGGGGGCAAGCGUUAUCCGGAUUUACUGGGUGUAAAGGGAGCGUAGACGGGGAUGCAAGUCUGAAGUGAAAGGCGGGGGCCCAACCUCCGGACUGCUUUGGAAACUGUAUGGCUGGAGUGCAGGAGAGGUAAGUGGAAUUCCUAGUGUAGCGGUGAAAUGCGUAGAUAUUAGGAGGAACACCAGUGGCGAAGGCGGCUUACUGGACUGUAACUGACGUUGAGGCUCGAAAGCGUGGGGAGCAAACAGGAUUAGAUACCCGAGUAGUC